CAUACUUUUAUUCAUAAAAACAUUGAAUUCGAACUAAAAAUUUACCUCUGCAAAUCAUAUAACCAAACGCAUAGAACGAAUGAAAUACGAGUUUCACUACCCGCCCCCAGGUGGCAUACAUACUUUAAGGCUAGGCAGGCUAAGUUGACUACUACUCUACAAUAGGUGGCGUUAAUGGACUACGAAAAACGACGUGAAAUGUUUACUUCUUUUUAUUUAUUUAUACUUUAAUGCCAAAAUUUUAACCUAAGGCGAACUUAAUCUCACAUUUAAUAAAUUAUACAUAAAUAAGUGUUUUGAGAAGUAGUAUUUUAAUCUAUGUUCUGUGAAUGACAAGUGUUAUCUGUCAAGUGUCAAAAAACUUGAAAAACUUUUACGAAGUUUGAAUUUUGUUAAAUUUGUUUAUAAACACAAUGCCAAAGGCAAGAAUAAUUGCCCACGCCAGAUGGAGACCCAGCUAAAUAAUGUAGUAACAGCGCGUGGUCGUGUGAUGAGGGUUCCUUGACUUGAGUUCUGGCGCAACACGUCCUGGGCACUAAACAAGAUUGGGGAUGGGACGUCUAAAGAGGUGCAAGCCUGGAAAACGCUCUCGUCUUGCUCUACAGCACUUGCACUUGUCCCACCAUCUACCAGUGUUGGAACUCUUCGAAGUGUAUUAAUGAUUAUUAUUUUAGUAACCAUAAAAGUUUAAAACAAUACAUUUUAUUGCAUAAUUAUUUGUUAGAAAAAACGACAAGUACAAAUGAGUAGGGAGGCUGUUGAUUUUUCAUGGUUAUUUUAUACUUAUCUUGUUGAUUGUUCCAAAAAAAAAACUAAGUUUUCAAGAAUGCUGUGAUUAAAGUACCUAUAGUAUUAUAUUUAAAACUAGCUUUCCGCCCGCGGCUUCGCCCGCGUGGAAUUUUGUCUGUCACAGAAAAACUUUAUCGCGCGCGUCCCUGUUUCAAAAACCGGGAUAAAAACUAUCCUAUGUUCUUUCCCGGGACUCAAACUAUCUCUAUGCCAAAUUUCAUCAAAAUCGGUUGCGAGGUUUAAGCGGGAAAGCGUAACAGACAGACAGACAGACAGACAGACAGACAGACAGAGUUACUUUCGCAUUUAUAAUAUUAGUUGGGAUGAAAACUUAGUUUGUAAAGAGACGAAGGCUGACCACAAAAGAAGUACUUAUAGCUGUCUGUGUCUGUGUAAAGAAUUUAAAUAAAAAGAUGUGUAUAUUUAAA